rnacentral:miRNA from 2 species
UGAAGCUGCCAGCAUGAUCUUA